rnacentral:ncRNA from 1 species
ACAGAUGAUGCACUAUCCGAAGGCUUAGCCAGGGUAUGUGUUGAUGU